UGGUAGGAAAAAUACUGUUCAUAACUGAGGCAUCCAGUUAUAAAAAGCUGGAGGUAUUAAUAGUGAGUAGACUUAUUAGAUUUGUAGACUUCAGCAAGUAGGGAAGGCCUGGAAACAUUUUAGGAGAUGGGAUUUUAAUUCCAAAUGUUCUUCCCAAAGUACAGCUUAUCAUGAAGCAUCGUUGUGCAACAGUGUCAUCCACAAUUUUAAUGAUGACAUCUCAUUUCAGGAGGGCAUGAGCUGAAUCCCAAUGAAUAAAUUCAUGAAGUUUAACCUCUCCGUGACCCCAUUUCUACUGUGUUUUCUUUUAGUCCCUCCCCAACUCAUUAGCUCUCCUGACAAAAACAGCUGAGAUGGAACGUGAGUUUUUAUAACUGUGCUUGAAACAGGAAGAAAACAUGGGAAGAAGAAAGGUGGAGAGAAACAUUGGGUUUGGUCUGGAAGUGAUUUGCUGUGUGCUUGGAAGCAAGACUUUUUUUUUCCCCAAGUAUGGCAUGGUUCUUAACUGGAACGAUGGAUCUUGGAGCAGAAACUACCCUGACAUUAUGAUUAUGUUCAACCCUAACUAAUUUAUUUCUAAUGUACUGUGAAUGGAAUCAAGUUCAUUGAGGUGCAGCCUCUGUUCCAAGGACAUCCUGUGGCUAUCGAGAAAACCUCUGUCUCGCACUCCAUUUUCAGCAAUGUUUUCACUGUCAGCUGUUAAUGUUAACACAAUGCUUAGGUUCUCUUAAAAUGAGUCAAGCCAUUUUGCCACCCCCUUAUUGCUCUGACAACUGUUGAUCCCGGUCUCAAGCCACUUUAAUGUGGCACCAGUUUGGUGCCCAAGUUACUGUUGACAUUUGUCUUUGAGCAUCUACUUUGUUUGCUUUUAACCCCUUGGUAGGACUAGAAGCAAAAAAAUGUGUUCCUGGUAGUAUUUCUCUUGAAAUAGCAGCUUAUGAAUUAAGAAACAUACCUAUUAAUCUUCAUUAUGGAAAAUACCUAGUGAGGCUCAUUUCUAUGUCCCAACCUGAUACAGUGUUAUAUCUGUUGGGUGAAGAUAUUUUUUAACCAUUUUUAUCAAUUCCUUAUCCUGUUAUUAUUGUUAGCUUUGGCACUGAAAACUAUCAGGUAUGAAUUUUGAUAUGCGUAAAAUUGGAAAUUGCCUUUUUUUUUUUUUUUUCUUUUGCUUGCUAUUGUACCAUCAAUCUGACAAUCUUUUAUAUAACGUAAUAAAAGUCUCUAUUUUCUAUACUCCAUUAAUGUAAUCCAGUAAGGGUAUCUUCUGUGAAAUUCUUGUUUAUGCCAAGUAGUGGACUUCUGAAACAUUUCCUACUUCAAUUUUCUGCAAUGCUACACUUACUGAAUCCAAUCAAUUCCAAUUUUAAUUCAAUUCAUUAUUUUGCAUUUAAAAUGAAAAUUAUGUAGUUGCCUACCAAAGUACUGUCACUAUUGGUAGAGGGUAUCUUUAACUUAACUUAAAUACUUCAAUGUGUAGACAAAAUAGCUGUUAUUUUUUCUUGUUGUUCUACACCAGGAAAAGUAUAUUAGAAGAACACAAGAGAAAAUAUUUUGUUGAUGCUAGCUGAAUUUAGAGUGAAUCGUUAUGGGAUGAAAACUGUUUAGAGCAAACUUAUCCUGUUUACUGAAUGAUUUUAUGGGAAGCUCUCAAAUUUGCAUGUUGAUUCAUAAAAUGUAGGAAGUCCCUCCCAUUCAUACAAUAGGAAAAGAGGUUUGUUAAAAUAUGAAAUCAUCUCUCAGACAUGUAGCAAGGGAGGCAGCUACUUGCAGUAGGAGAGCAAUCUGCAACACUAGGAAUAGUACUGUCCAACCUGUGUAAAGUUUUCUUUGCAUACAUGAAUUUUCCAUAUCUGUAAUUCAUAUAUAAAGAGAAAUAUAAGGAUUCUUUUUGUCUUAAAUUUCUGGACUAUUUCUCCUCAAGCUUGCACAACCUGAAUGUGAUCAAUAAACACAAUGGAGUGAUACUUA